rnacentral:rRNA from 1 species
UUGGAGGGCAAGUCUGGUGCCAGCAGCCGCGGUAAUUCCAGCUCCAAUAGCGUAUAUUAAAGUUGUUGCAGUUAAAAAGCUCGUAGUUGAAUUUCGGGAUUGACACAUCGGUCGUGCCUUAAGGGGUAUGAACUGGUGUAGUCAAUUUCUCACCUUCUGGAGAACCACGAUGCCCUUAAUUGGGUGUCGCGGGGAACCAGGACCUUUACUUUGAAAAAAUUAGAGUGUUUAAAGCAGGCAUUUUGCUUGAAUACAUUAGCAUGGAAUAAUAAAAUAGGACGGCAUGAUUCUAUUUUGUUGGUUUCUAGGAUCACCGUAAUGAUUAAUAGGGAUAGUUGGGGGCAUUAGUAUUCAAUUGUCAGAGGUGAAAUUCUUGGAUUUAUUGAAGACUAACUACUGCGAAAGCAUUUGCCAAGGAUGUUUUCAUUAAUCAAGGACGAAAGUUAGGGGAUCGAAGACGAUCAGAUACCGUCGUAGUCUUAACCAUAAACUAUGCCGACUAGGAAUCAGACGAUGUUAAUUUUUUAAUGACUCGUUUGGCACCUUACGGGAAACCAAAGUGUUUGGGUUC